rnacentral:tRNA from 2 species
GCGAGAGUGGCGGAAUUGGUAGACGCGCUAGAUUUAGGAUCUAGUGCCUUUAAGGCGUGGGGGUUCGAGUCCCCCCUCUCGUA